UAGGUCUCCAUCCCAGGAUCCUGGAAUCAUCACUUGAGCCAAAAGGAGACACGCCCCUGAACCACUCAGGCACUCCUGGAUGCAUAAUUUAAGAGAACACCAAAAAACUCAACAAGAUAAAUAAUGUUUGAAUGCAAUAUUUCUAAAAAAAUCAAAUUGGCCAACUAUAACUCACAAGCUGGCUGCCUCUUUUUGUAAACAAAGUAUCAAAGACCACAUCUUCAGGGGAUGAAGCCUCUGGCUUUGUUCUGGAUCCAGGUCAGAGAAGUCUCUCUGGAAGACUUCCAACAGAAGUUCACACUCCUGUGGGAUUGGGACCAGAAAUCACAUCCAUGCCAACCCCCAGGAUAUCAUCUAAUAUGUGGAGGAAGAAUAAUCAACUAGAAAAUCAUCAUUUUGCAAACCUGAAUGAACUAACUCAGGUGAAGGAGUCCCAAACAUGGGGUGUUGGCAUACUGAUUAUUUUGAGUUAAAGGCACUGGACAAACAGCAGGUGCAGAGGGUGGUCUGUCCUUCCUUUUUCUUCCUGAAAGCAGGAAAUAAAGCUCCCCCGUGAAAGUGCCCUCGCUGUAGCCAGAGGAAGGAAGACAUUCUCAUUACCAAGGAUGAGAGGCUGACAGACCGUGUUAAAACAAUUCUGAUUUCCUGUCACCUCCCUGCGGUUGAGUUGCUUUGUCACACAACUGCCUCUCUUUGUUCAACCCACCAGAAAAGCAAAUAGGUUUCACCGUGUCCUUGGUUCUUUGUUUCCAUAUAAAGGCUCCAGUGUCAUGGGAAACUUAUAUUA